GCGUAAGCGUGCGUAGGCGGCUGAUUAAGUCGGAUGUGAAAUCCCUGAGCUUAACUUAGGAAUUGCAUUCGAUACUGGUCAGCUAGAGUAUGGGAGAGGAUGGUAGAAUUCCAGGUGUAGCGGUGAAAUGCGUAGAGAUCUGGAGGAAUACCGAUGGCGAAGGCAGCCAUCUGGCCUAAUACUGACGCUGAGGUACGAAAGCAUGGGGAGCAAACAGGAUUAGAUACCCUGGUAGUCCAUGCCGUAAACGAUGUCUACUAGCCGUUGGGGCCUUUGAGGCUUUAGUGGCGCAGCUAACGCGAUAAGUAGACCGCCUGGGGAGUACGGUCGCAAGACUAAAACUCAAAUGAAUUGACGGGGGCCUGCACAAGCGGUGGAGCAUGUGGUUUAAUUCGAUGCAACGCGAAGAACCUUACCUGGCCUUGACAUACUAGAAACUUUCCAGAGAUGGAUUGGUGCCUUCGGGAAUCUAGAUACAGGUGCUGCAUGGCUGUCGUCAGCUCGUGUCGUGAGAUGUUGGGUUAAGUCCCGCAACGAGCGCAACCCUUUUCCUUAUUUGCCAGCGAGUAAUGUCGGGAACUUUAAGGAUACUGCCAGUGACAAACUGGAGGAAGGCGGGGACGACGUCAAGUCAUCAU
rnacentral:rRNA from 1 species